CAAUCUUUUCAACGGCAGCAUUCCCGUUGAACUUGGCCAUCUUGGUGCUCUCCAGAUCUCCCUCAACAUUAGCCAUAACGCGCUCUCAGGUACAAUUCCAGGUGAUUUGGGGAAAUUGCAGAUGCUGGAAUCAAUGUACUUGAAUAACAAUCAGCUUGUUGGUGAAAUUCCCGCUUCAAUUGGUGACUUGAUGAGCCUCCUGGUAUGCAACCUUUCUAACAAUAACCUGGUAGGAACAGUGCCAAACACCCCUGUUUUUCAGAGGAUGGAUUCCAGCAAUUUUGGUGGAAACAGUGGCUUGUGCAGAG
rnacentral:lncRNA from 1 species